GACGAACGCUGGCGGCGUGCUUAACACAUGCAAGUCGAACGGAAAGGCCCUGCUUUUGUGGGGUGCUCGAGUGGCGAACGGGUGAGUAACACGUGAGUAACCUGCCCUUGACUUUGGGAUAACUUCAGGAAACUGGGGCUAAUACUGGAUAGGAGCUCCUGCUGCAUGGUGGGGGUUGGAAAGUUUCGGCGGUUGGGGAUGGACUCGCGGCUUAUCAGCUUGUUGGUGGGGUAUUGGCUUACCAAGGCUUUGACGGGUAGCCGGCCUGAGAGGGUGACCGGCCACAUUGGGACUGAGAUACGGCCCAGACUCCUACGGGAGGCAGCAGUGGGGAAUAUUGCACAAUGGGCGGAAGCCUGAUGCAGCAACGCCGCGUGCGGGAUGACGGCCUUCGGGUUGUAAACCGCUUUCGCCUGUGACGAAGCGUGAGUGACGGUAAUGGGUAAAGAAGCACCGGCUAACUACGUG
rnacentral:rRNA from 1 species